AGAGUUUGAUCCUGGCUCAGAGCGACGCUGGCGGCGUGCUUAACACAUGCAAGUCGAGUGCGCGUCCGUAGCAAUACGGAUGGCGCACGGCGCACGGGUGCGUAACACGUGGGCAAUCUGCCCUCGGAUGGGGGAUAACUCGCCGAAAGGCGAGCUAAUACCGCAUGACAUUCCGAAGACUCCGGUCUUUGGAUUCAAAGGCCGAAGGCCGUCUGAGGAGGAGCCCGCGCCCGAUUAGCUAGUUGGUGAGGUAACGGCUCACCAAGGCUUUGAUCGGUAGCCGGUCUGAGAGGAUGGCCGGCCACACUGGAACUGAGACACGGUCCAGACUCCUACGGGAGGCAGCAGUGGGGAAUAUUGCGCAAUGGGCGAAAGCCUGACGCAGCGACGCCGCGUGGGGGAUGAAGCUUCUCGGAGUGUAAACCCCUUUCGACCCGGACGAAUGACCCGCAAGGGUUUGACGGUACGGGUAUAAGAAGCCCCGGCUAACUACGUGCCAGCAGCCGCGGUAAUACGUAGGGGGCCAGCGUUGCUCGGAAUUACUGGGCGUAAAGGGUUCGUAGGUGGUGCGGUAAGUUGGAAGUGAAAUCUCUGGGCUUAACCCAGAGGCUGCUUUCAAAACUGUCGCG
rnacentral:rRNA from 1 species